rnacentral:rRNA from 1 species
GGGGGGAAAUUAAUUAAAUAUAAAUAAUAAAAAAAUUUUUAAUAUUGGGGGGUAUUAAAGUAUUUUUUUAAGAAAAAAUAAUUAAUUUUAUAUAAAAUUAGUAUUGAAAAAGAAAUUUGAAAUAAAUGAAAUAAAAAUUAAAAAUAAAGUAAUUUUAACUUAAUGUAUCUUGUGUAUCAGAGUUUAUUAAAAAAUAUUUUUUGUAAAAAAAAAUCUCGAAUUUAAAAGAGUUAAUUGAUUAAAAAAGUUAAUGUAGAAUAAUUAUUUUUAAUAAUCAAUUUGAAAUGAAAUGUUAAUCGUUUUUAAAUAUAUCUAGUUAUUUUAGAAAAAAAUUUAAUUUAAAAUUUAAAAAAUUUUAUUAAUAAAUAUAAUUAUUAAUAAAAUAUUUAAAAUUAAAUAUAUUAAGGGAUAAGCUUUAGUAUAAAAAUUUAUAAUUAAAUAGAAUAAAAAUUAGAAUUUUAAGAUUUAUAUUGUUUAUAAAUUAUAAUUUAUUAUAAAAAAUUUAAUAAAAAAUAAAAUUUAAAAUAAAAAAUUUAAUUUUUUAUAAAUAAAUAGUUUUAAAUAAAAGAAAAUUAAAAAUAAUGAUAAAAUUAGUAUAAAAAAAUAAAAAUAAUAUUUAAAUAUUAAAAAUUAAAUUAAAGGAAUUCGGCAAAAAUUUAUAUUCACUUGUUUAUCAAAAACAUGUCUUUUAGAAAAUAAUUUAAAGUCUAAUCUGCCCACUGAUAAAUUAUUAAAGGGCUGCAGUAUAUUGACUGUACAAAGGUAGCAUAAUCAAUAGUCUUUUAAUUGGAGACUUGUAUGAAAGAUUUAAUGAGAUAUAAGCUGUCUCUAAUUUAAGAAUAGAAAUUAAUUUUUUAGUUAAAAAGCUAAAAUAAAUUUAAAAGACGAGAAGACCCUAUAGAGUUUUAUAUUAAAAUUAUUUAAGAUUAUAUUUAUAAUUAAUAAUUAAAAAUGAAAUUAAUAUUUUAUUGGGGUGAUAAAAAAAUUUAAUUAACUUUUUUUAAAAAUUUAAAACAUAAAUAAGUGAAUAAUUGAUCCAUAAUUUAUGAUUAAAAGAAAAAAUUACCUUAGGGAUAACAGCGUAAUAUUUUUUUUUAGUACAAAUAAGAAAAAAAGUUUGCGACCUCGAUGUUGGAUUAAGAUAAAAUUUAAAUGCAAAAGUUUAAAAUUUUGAUCUGUUCGAUCAUUAAAAUCUUACAUGAUCUGAGUUCAAACCGGUGUGAGCCAGGUUGGUUUCUAUCUUUAAAAUAAUGAAAUAUUUUAGUACGAAAGGAUCAAAUAUUUUUAAUAAUUAAAAUUAAUGAAUAUUAGUAAUGAAAAUUAUAG